GGGAUCCGAGCCCCGACGAGCCUGCAGAGUCUGUCCGCGCACAUCACGAAGGAGAUCACACAGGGAGUAAAGAAACCCUUCAAGAAGGUGAUUGAUGUCAGCUCAGGUGAUCCCCACAGGGCACGGAUGGCUCCCAUCUCAUUUGUUUGUCAGGUCUUGGCGCUGUGUGUGUACCCUGAGCUCCUCAAAGAGAAAAGCCUUCCUCUGGAUGUCAGGCACAAGGCGGAGAAGCUUGUGGUGGAG